AUUGAACGCUGGCGGCAUGCCUAACACAUGCAAGUCGAGCGGAGCGGCGGACGGGUGAGUAAUGCCUAGGAAUCUGCCCGGUAGUGGGGGAUAACGUCCGGAAACGGGCGCUAAUACCGCAUACUAUCAGAUGGGCCUAGGUCGGUUUAGCUAGUGGGUGGGGUAAAGGCCUACCAAGGCGACGAUCCGUACCUGGACGGAGAGGAUGAUCAGUCACACGUGGACUGAGACACGGGCCAGACUCCUACGUGAGGCAGCAGUGGUGAAUAUUGGACAAUGGGCGAAAGCCUGAUCCAGCCAUGCAGCGUGUGUGAUGAAGGUCUUCGGAUUGUAAAUCACUUUUAGUUGGGAAGCGUUACCAACAGAAUAAGCACCGGCUAACUACGUGCCAGCCGCCGCGGUAAUUC
rnacentral:rRNA from 1 species